CCCUGGGUUAGUCGGGACCUAAGCUGAGGCCGAAAGGCGUAGGUGAUGGACAACAGGUUGAUAUUCCUGUACUACCGAUAACCGUUUGAGAGAAGGGAUGACACAGUAGGAUAAGCUAAGCACACUGUUGGUUAUGUGUGCCCAAGCAUUGAGGCAGUCAAAGUAGGCAAAUCCGCUUUGAUAAUGCUGGGAUGUGAUGGGGAGCGAAAUUUAGUAGCGAA
rnacentral:rRNA from 1 species